GUAAUAGUACGUGCCCAUCUCCUUUCACAUGGUUUUUGGGAGCCCCAAAGGAAAUCAGGACAGUAUAACUUACUGGAAUGGAGAGCUACUGGAAGGAAAUGCAUUUUUGCAUCUAGCUGCUGAGUCUGUAGCCAUUGUACAACCUCUACAUGAUGCUACAUGAUGGUAGACGAUACUUUACUCUGGAAAUCCACCGAUACU